UUACCAAUGAAUUCGUUGGUAAAUUGACUAGAUUUCCUGUGCAAUUUGUUUGGCAUGUGUUCUUUACCGAAUAUGUGUCUAAUAACAUCAUUAUUUCUACUUGAUUUCCAGGAAAAAAAGUGAAAGGUGCAUAAAGCCAGUACUGUCAACUAUUGUGUUAAAAAUCCUGGACAGAAUAUGUCAUCCAAAUGACAGAGUGGAUUCAUCACUAUUAUCGGCUGAAUCCUUCUAUGGGACUUGCCAGAUCACCAACCCAAGCAUGGACCAAUUUCUCAUGCCAUCUUCUAGAGAACCUUUCAUAACCGAUUGGUGGUUUAGUGUGUUUUAGGUUUCUAAUGUAGCAUGAUAGACUUUAUGAGAAGUCAUGUUGUUUGAAGAAAAAGGACUAUACAGUCGACAAGGUUCUUUGCUAACCCGUUGGCUGCUACCCUUGAAUCUCCCUGUUUACUUCCUUACACGGGUCCUCUUGAUUUGAGGGUAAUCCUUCGCUACUGAUCACACCCACUGGUGAAAACCGACGAGAGAAUGCUGUA